UGUCUGAAAAAUAAUAAAUACAUAUUUUUUACCUAAAUGUUACGGUGACACUGCUUACUAGUAAAAUAUACAUACACAUAAUUAUUAUUAAUAAGUUCGAAAAACAACCAGGAAAAAGCAGGAAAGCAGGAAAAUAUUAGAACAAUUAUGUUACAAUUUACAAAAAGAACAUCGAGAUAUUUCUUUCAUGGAAUUUCUACUACACCAAUCAAACAUCAAUCUACACUUGUGAAAUUAAGAAAACUUCAAGCAGAUUUUCAAUGUGAAAAUGGAAAACCAAUUUGGCUAAAAGGUGGUUUAAGUGACAGGAUCCUGUAUGGAACAACUGUGGUUCUGUGUUAUAUUGGUGUAUUGAUGACUCUUGUUACAAUUUAUGAU